GCUGGUGUUGCGCGGAAAAUAAUUGCGGAACACGAAGCCGCGGCACUGGUCGAUGAUGUGAAACAGAGGAUUCCAGGCAAACAUAGUCAGCAUGAAACCACCCAGAGCGUUGGCGACAAACAUCUUUCCCGAAAACACCAUGUUCAUGCGGCG
rnacentral:ncRNA from 1 species